rnacentral:rRNA from 1 species
CACCAGCGCCACGAGUGGUCAUCACGAUUAUUGGGCCUAAAGCGUCCGUAGCUGGUGCGGUGCAUCCCUUGUGAAAUCGUUCGGCUUAACCGAACGGCGUGCAGGGGACACGGCCGCGCUCGAGACCGGGAGGGGUCAGAAGUAUUCCAUGGGGACCGGUAAAAUGGGAUAAUCCAUGGAGGACUACCGAUGGCGAAGGCAUCUGACCAGAACGGAUCUGACAGUGAGGGACGAAAGCCAGGGGAGCGAA